UACGUAGGGUGCGAGCGUUGUCCGGAAUUAUCGGUGCGUAAAGAGCUCGUAGGUGGUUUGUCGCGUUGUUCGUGAAAACUCACAACUCAAUUGUGGGCGUGCGGGCGAUACGGGCAGACUGGAGUACUGCAGGGGGAGACUGGAAUUCCUGGUGUAGCGGUGGAAUGCGCAGAUAUCAGGAGGAACACCGGUGGCGAAGGCGGGCUCUGGGACAGUAACUGACGCUGAGGACGAAAGCGUGGGGAGCGAAACAGGAUUAGAACCAUACGUCGAG
rnacentral:rRNA from 1 species